CAAAGUGUAGCUUAUAACAAAGCAUCUGGCUUACACCUAGAAGAUUUCAGAUUAACUGACCACUUUGA
rnacentral:tRNA from 1 species